rnacentral:misc_RNA from 1 species
CAAAAAGAGCUGCGACUGUGGUAGUUGGUAUCAUAAGCCCGUAGAAGCACUAACAAGUUUAGAGACUUGUAAUUGCGUGUACCCACCAACAGUACUGAUAAUUGAAAUUGCCAUGCUAUUGCUGAUAUGACGAACACCCAUUGGCAAAAGACAUAAAAGCCACAGUUUAAGUUUAAGCACCUUCCAACCCAUAAGCGCUAAAGUGCUGUGCGGUACUCUCAUUCUCAUGUCUCAAUACAAGAAUUCUUCUCCAAGAUAUUUCCACUUUCUGAUACAGAAGCCCAUCAUUGAAUAUGGCGGGAAAACCUUAGAUAUUUUGUAUACAAAAACAGUAUAACAAAAUAUAUAUUAUUACACAAUUUUUAACAACCUUUAACUACUUUAACCAAAAUAUGCAUUUCACAAAACCCACAAACCCAAAGAAAUAUAAAAAUUAUAGAAACCCCCCACAAUACAACUUACAAAAACAAACUCAUUACUGAUCCAGUGCAUUAGGGCCAGUGCAGUAACUGACCACAUGAUUCCAUAACCACUGAACCAAGUACCUGCGUCUGAUUCCAUUCAUAUUAUACGUGGCACCAUCAUGUCCCUCCAAUAGCUGCCCUGUGUAGGACCCACCUCCUCCCGUUCCAUAUAUACCCUCGCACAAAUCCGCUAUCUCCACCGGCGAAGUUGGGUCCUGCCCGGCGUACCAAGCGUUCACCAACGGGUUCGUUGCCAGCUCAGCAAUCUCGUGACCGAUCACGCUGAUCAUCCCAUCCACUCCUACGUCGCCGUUUGGUGACUUUCUCGGCUUCAGCCCUGGGAUAUAAUCUGGUACGGCGAACGGGUAGGCACACACUCCUGGGCAUAGCUUCGCACUAUUGCCCACCCACGCGUACGGGAGCGUAUAACCCACAAUCGCCGGGAAUGUGAAAUAGUGGAAUCCGCAAACCUGCCCGCAGAAAUCCUGAACGUACACGUCAUCGGACGUGAGCAACAGAUAUAACCCACUUUUAGGAUUUAUCGGUAACGGCUUUGAUCUAGCUGUGACCGCACUUUUUAUCACAGAUUGUAUCGAUAACCUCGUCAGCGAUUUCCCGUGGGAGUAAAAUCGAUCGUUUUUCUCCUCCCCUAAGCGAACAUUGCGGGAGAUGUUCGCGCCGGUUUGAUCGGUGUAAAGUUGUACGGUCUUCCACCAUCCGGCGACGGAAGGGUGGGUGGAACGAACGGUUGAGAUGGAGCUAAUGAACUCGCGGAUGAUCUUCUUCUGAGACUUCUGCCACGUGCCGUACCAGAUUGUGUGUACGGCGAUGUUAGCAGUGAGGACCGGUCCCAUGUGGUAGCGCAAGCGAACGAACUCAGACGAGCCCUCGAAUUUCUUAGACCCAGCAUAUAGGAGAUCAGAUGAGUUGGGUCGGAGGUGGGGCCAUGGGCGCCACCCCAAAACGGGAGAGACGGCGCAGAGAAGGGAAAAUACAGUAAGGACAGGCAGCAGCGAAAUGAGAGGUGGCAGGGUCAUGGUAGUGGAAGGGAGGGUUUUGCCAAUAGCGCGAACA